CCAAAAUCCGCUGGGGAGUUAUUGCCGAGACCGGAAUACGAUUCCUGGGAAACCAGGGAGAAGUGGUUGAAUCACGCUGUCAAGAAAAUCCUCGUAGAGAGUUUCUAAUGUAACCGUACCGCAAUCCGACACAGGUAGACGAGGAGAAUAUCCUAAGGCGCGCGGGUGAACUCUGGUUAAGGAACUCGGCAAACUAGUCCCGUAACUUCGGAAGAAGGGAUGCCUGCUGAUUUAACCCCGUACAGGGGAAGGGUCGGCGGGUCGCAGUGAAAUGGCUCUCGUGACUGUUUAACAAAAACACAGGCCUCUGCUUAAAUCACAAGAUGAUGUAUAGGGGCUGAUGCCUGCCCGGUGCUGGAAGGUCACGGGGAGAUGUUAGUGUCCGCAAGGAUGCGAAGCGUUGAACCUAAGCCCCAGUAAACGGCGGCCGUAACUAUAACGGUCCUAAGGUAGCAAAAUUCCUUGUCGGGUAAGUUCCGACCUGCACGAAUGGCACAACAAAGAGAGCGCUGUCUCAACCAGAGUCUCGGUGAAAUUGGGGUGCAAGUGAAGACGCUUGCUGCCCGCGGCUAGACGAAAAGACCCCGUGAAGCUUUACUGUAUCUUGAUAAUGAGCUACGGGAUUGGAUGCGUAGAAUAGGUGGGAGGCUUUGAAGCCUCGCUUUCGGGCGAGGUGGAGCCGUCUGUGAAAUACCACUCUUCCGAUCUUGUGGUUCUAACACCGUCCUCUAUAUCGAGGCGGCGGACAUUGUCAGGUGGGCAGUUUAACUGGGGCGGUUGCCUCCUAAAGAGUAACGGAGGCGUACAAAGGUUCCCUCAGCGCGUAUAGAAAUCGCGCAUCGUGUGCAAGAGCAGAAGGGAGCUUGACUGCAAGACCAACAAGUCGAGCAGGUGCGAAAGCAGGUUCUAGUGAUCCGGCGGUUUGAAUGUGGAAUUGCCGUCGCUCAACGAAUAAAAGCUACUCCGGGGAUAACAGGCUUAUGGGAUCCAAGAGUCCAUAUCGACGAUCCCGUUUGGCACCUCGAUGUCGGCUCAUCGCAUCCUCCCGCUGAAGUAGGUGGGAAGGGUUUGGCUGUUCGCCAAUUAAAGCGGUACGUGAGCUGGGUUCAGUACGUCGUAAGACAGUACGGUCUCUAUCUACCGUGGGCGUAGGAAUUUUGAAGGGAGCUGUCCCUAGUACGAGAGGACCGGGAUGGACGAACCUCUGGUGUACCAGUUGUUCCGCCAGGAGCAUGGCUGGAUAGCUAAGUUCGGAAAGGAUAAACGCUGAAAGCAUCUAAGUGUGAAACCUGCCCUAAGAUAAGAAUUCCCGCAACAUUAGUUGCCUAAAGACCUCCGGAAGACUACCGGAUUGAUAGGCAGGAAGUGGAAGCGCCGUUAAGGCGUGGAGCUAACCUGUACUAAUUGGUCGUGCGGCUUGGCCGU
rnacentral:rRNA from 1 species